CAAAAAUUAAAAAAUUAAAAAAUCUAGCCCUAACAUCUCCCUCCUCUCUCUUUUCUCACUGAAGCUCAAACUCUCACCUCUUUGUUCACCGGCUCAAUCUUAAGCUCACCGGAGAUUGCCGCUGGAAGGCUUUCCCAGCAAAGAAACCCUUCGACAACGAUAGAGAAGAUCUCCGGCAACGAUUCUUCCUCUCUCGUCCUUGCUUGUAUGAUUGUCGACGACGAAGAAAUCGAUCAGUACUAUCAAGACCAUUAUUAGUCCUUUCCAUUGCAACUGUUUUUACAGACGAAUCACAACGUAGUGAUGGGACACCAGAGUAUAUUACUGAUUCCCAUGAUUCAAAAGUAUCUGCAGAUCUGACUUCAGUCGCAGCCAAUUCAAGUAUAGGAAUCAAUGACGACGAGCUCCACAGAUUUUACUCAGCUUGUAAUAAUGACGUUUUAAGCUUCUUUACAGCAAUCAAGAAGACAAUUCAAUGGCGGAGGAGUUACAAAAUUUUGUCAGAAGAAGAGCUAGAGAGUUGGUCAAGUUUGGUGUUCUGGCAUGGGUUUGAUGUGAUGCAAAGACCUUGCCUUAUUGUAAGGCUUGGCCUAGCUUGUAGAUCAUUGGUGGCUCGUGAUAGACCUCAAUUUGAUUUUUUAAUUUGAAAACAAAUAAUUUGUAUAAUUAGUAAUAAAUAAAAAUAUUAUCUUUCUCCUAAUAAUAUUAUCAUAUCAAAUGUUACCAUUAA